rnacentral:rRNA from 1 species
AUGAACGCUGGCGGCGUGCCUAAUACAUGCCAGUCGAGCGAACAGACGAGGAGCUUGCUCCUCUGACGUUAGCGGCGGACGGGUGAGUAACACGUGGAUAACCUACCUAUAAGACUGGGAUAACUUCGGGAAACCGGAGCUAAUACCGGAUAAUAUAUUGAACCGCAUGGUUCAAUAGGGAAAGACGGUUUUGCUGUCACUUAUAGAUGGAUCCGCGCCGGAUUAGCUAGUUGGUAAGGUAACGGCUUACCAAGGCGACGAUGCGUAGCCGGCCUGAGAGGAUGAUCAGACACACUGGAACUGAGACACGGUCCAGACUCCUACGGGAGGCAGCAGUGGGGAAGAUUGGACAAUGGGCGCAAGCCUGAUCCAGCCAUACCGCGUGGGUGAAGAAGGCCUUCGGGUUGUAAAGCCCUUUUGUUGGGAAAGAAAAGCAGCAGGUUAAUACCCCGCUGUUCUGACGGUACCCAAAGAAUAAGCACCGGCUAACUUCGUG